AGAGCGAACGCUGGCGGCAGGCCUAACACAUGCAAGUCGAGCGCCCGUAGCAAUACGGGAGCGGCAGACGGGAUAGUAACACGUGGGAACGCGCCCUUCGGUUCGGAAUAACUCAGGGAAACUUGAGCUAAUACCGGAUACGCCCUUACGGGGAAAGAUUUAUUGCCGAAGGAACGGCCCGCGUCCGAUUAGCUAGUUGGUGAGGUAAUGGCUCACCAAGGCGACGAUCGGUAGCUGGUCUGAGAGGAUGACCAGCAUCACUGGGACUGAGACACGGCCCAGACUCCUACGGGAGGCAGCAGUGGGGAAUCUUGGACAAUGGGGGAAACCCUGAUCCAGCCAUGCCGCGUGAGUGAUGAAGGCCUUCGGGUUGUAAACUGCUUUUCUCUGUGAAGAUUAUGACGGUAACAGAAGAAUAAGGAUCUGCUAACUACGUGCCAGCAGCCGC
rnacentral:rRNA from 1 species